GCUGGAGGCAAUUGAAAGUUGGAUGUGUGAUUCUUAUACAUGGAUCCAGAUCACAGGGUAAUUUGUGACAUACUGCUGGACCCAGCACCCAGAUCAUUUGACUCUCCUGCCUUGGUCCUGCCCACAGAGGGCAUUGUGACAUGUGAGUGGGCUCAGCAGCCAGAUGAUGUCACCUUCCUGCCAGGACUCUUCCAACAGAAGGGGCAUUGAC
rnacentral:lncRNA from 10 species